UGGGAUAUAGCUCAGUUGGUAGAGUGCUGGCCUUGAAUGCAUAAAGCCCUGGGUUCAAUCCCCAGAACCACAC
rnacentral:tRNA from 1 species